AGCGAACGCUGGCGGCAGGCCUAACACAUGCAAGUCGAACGAAGUCUUCGGACUUAGUGGCGGACGGGUGAGUAACACGUGGGAACGUACCUUUUGGUUCGGAACAACUCAGGGAAACUUGAGCUAAUACCGGAUGAGCCCUUAGGGGGAAAGAUUUAUCGCCGAAAGAGCGGCCCGCGUUAGAUUAGCUAGUUGGUGAGGUAAAGGCUCACCAAGGCUACGAUCUAAAGCUGGUCUGAGAGGAUGAUCAGCCACACUGGGACUGAGACACGGCCCAGACUCCUACGGGAGGCAGCAGUGGGGAAUCUUGCGCAAUGGGCGAAAGCCUGACGCAGCCAUGCCGCGUGAAUGAUGAAGGUCUUAGGAUUGUAAAAUUCUUUUACCAGGGACGAUAAUGACGGUACCUGGAGAAAAAGCCCCGGCUAACUUCGUGCCAGCAGCCGCCGUAAGAC
rnacentral:rRNA from 1 species